UUAAGCGACUAAGCGUACACGGUGGAUGCCCUGGCAGUCAGAGGCGAUGAAGGACGUGCUAAUCUGCGAAAAGCGCCGGCGAGGUGAUAUGAACCUUUGACCCGGCGAUGUCCGAAUGGGGAAACCCAGUGCAAUCCGUUGCACUAUCGUUAACUGAAUACAUAGGUUAACGAGGCGAACCGGGGGAACUGAAACAUCUAAGUACCCCGAGGAAAAGAAAUCAACCGAGAUUCCCCCAGUAGCGGCGAGCGAACGGGGAGCAGCCCGGAGUCUGAAUCAGCUUGUGUGUUAGUGGAACGGUCUGGAAAGUCCGACGGUACAGGGUGAUAGUCCCGUACACGAAAGCACACAUGCUGUGAACUCGAAGAGUAGGGCGGGACACGUGGUAUCCUGUCUGAAUAUGGGGGGACCAUCCUCCAAGGCUAAAUACUCCUGACUGACCGAUAGUGAACCAGUACCGUGAGGGAAAGGCGAAAAGAACCCCGGCGAGGGGAGUGAAAAAGAACCUGAAACCGUGUACGUACAAGCAGUGGGAGCCUCUUUAUGGGGUGACUGCGUACCUUUUGUAUAAUGGGUCAGCGACUUAUAUUCUGUAGCAAGGUUAACCGUAUAGGGGAGCCGAAGGGAAACCGAGUCUUAACUGGGCGUUAAGUUGCAGGGUAUAGACCCGAAACCCGGUGAUCUAGCCAUGGGCAGGUUGAAGGUUGGGUAACACUAACUGGAGGUCCGAACCGACUAAUGUUGAAAAAUUAGCGGAUGACCUGUGGCUGGGGGUGAAAGGCCAAUCAAACCGGGAGAUAGCUGGUUCUCCCCGAAAGCUAUUUAGGUAGCGCCUCGUGAACUCAUCUUCGGGGGUAGAGCACUGUUUCGGCUAGGGGGCCAUCCCGGCUUACCAACCCGAUGCAAACUACGAAUACCGAAGAAUGUUAUCACGGGAGACACACGGCGGGUGCUAACGUCCGUCGUGAAGAGGGAAACAACCCAGACCGCCAGCUAAGGUCCCAAAGUCAUGGUUAAGUGGGAAACGAUGUGGGAAGGCACAGACAGCCAGGAUGUUGGCUUAGAAGCAGCCAUCAUUUAAAGAAAGCGUAAUAGCUCACUGGUCGAGUCGGCCUGCGCGGAAGAUGUAACGGGGCUAAACCAUGCACCGAAGCUGCGGCAGCGACGCUUAUGCGUUGUUGGGUAGGGGAGCGUUCUGUAAGCCGUUGAAGGUGUCCUGUGAGGGGUGCUGGAGGUAUCAGAAGUGCGAAUGCUGACAUAAGUAACGAUAAAGCGGGUGAAAAGCCCGCUCGCCGGAAGACCAAGGGUUCCUGUCCAACGUUAAUCGGGGCAGGGUGAGUCGACCCCUAAGGCGAGGCCGAAAGGCGUAGUCGAUGGGAAACAGGUUAAUAUUCCUGUACUUGGUGUUACUGCGAAGGGGGGACGGAGAAGGCUAUGUCAGCCGGGCGACGGUUGUCCCGGUUUAAGCAUGUAGGCGGAGGUUCCAGGUAAAUCCGGUACCUUGUUAACGCUGAGGUGUGAUGACGAGGCACUACGGUGCUGAAGUGAUAAAUGCCCUGCUUCCAGGAAAAGCCUCUAAGCAUCAGGUAACACGAAAUCGUACCCCAAACCGACACAGGUGGUCAGGUAGAGAAUACCAAGGCGCUUGAGAGAACUCGGGUGAAGGAACUAGGCAAAAUGGUGCCGUAACUUCGGGAGAAGGCACGCUGAUAUGUAGGUGAAGUCCCUGCGGACGGAGCUGAAAUCAGUCGAAGAUACCAGCUGGCUGCAACUGUUUAUUAAAAACACAGCACUGUGCAAACACGAAAGUGGACGUAUACGGUGUGACGCCUGCCCGGUGCCGGAAGGUUAAUUGAUGGGGUUAGCGGCAACGCGAAGCUCUUGAUCGAAGCCCCGGUAAACGGCGGCCGUAACUAUAACGGUCCUAAGGUAGCGAAAUUCCUUGUCGGGU
rnacentral:rRNA from 1 species